GAUGAACGCUGACAGCAUGCUUAACACAUGCAAGUCAACUUGAACUUCGGUUUGGGUGGCGGACGGGUGAGUAACGCGUAAAGAACUUGCCUCACAGAUAGGGACAACAUUUGGAAACGAAUGCUAAUACCUGAUAUUAUGAUUUUAGGGCAUCCUAGGAUUAUGAAAGCUAUAUGCGCUGUGAGAGAGCUUUGCGUCCCAUUAGCUAGUUGGAGAGGUAACGGCUCACCAAGGCGAUGAUGGGUAGCCGGCCUGAGAGGGUGAUCGGCCACAAGGGGACUGAGACACGGCCCUUACUCCUACGGGAGGCAGGAGUGGGGAAUAUUGGACAAUGGACCAAGAGUCUGAUCCAGCAAUUCUGUGUGCACGAUGAAGUUUUUCGGAAUGUAAAGUGCUUUCAGUUGGGAAGAAAAAAAUGACGGUACCAACAGAAGAAGUGACGGCUAAAUACGUG
rnacentral:rRNA from 1 species